rnacentral:lncRNA from 1 species
CAUGGAUCAUAUUGACAAGAUAAAAUCACUGGAAAGAGAAUGCUGCAAGAUUUCUGCUUGCUUGUCACCUGAGGUGGCAUGAAGGAGCUCGAGCAACACUACUUCUUUUGGCUAUGAUAUUUUGUUUAUGUUAGAAAAUGGAUAGGGUUGCAUGCAUAGAUUUUAAAAUCAUUUUGAAGUAGCAGCAAAAAUGAUCUAGGUUAAACCCUUUAACCCCACAUGCAAUAGAUCUAAUCUAUAUCUACUUCAACCCUGGAUCUAAGAUAUAUAUAUAAUCUAAAAAUAAAAUAAAAAAAAUUAAGAUCGGAUCUCAAUACCUUGCAUUGGCUGAUAUACACUGCAG